AGAUCCAAUAGCGUAUAUUAGAGUUGUUACAGUUUAAAAGCUCGUAGUUGAAUUUCUCGUGGGAGGGAUCGGUCCAAAACUCUGUGUGGAAGCUUGUACCCUCUCCAACCAUCCUUAGGUGGAUCUUGUCUGGUAUUAUUUUUUCAGUCAGGGAAUGCCCAUUAUUUACUGUGAAAAAUUAGAGUGUUCAAUGCAGAUUUAUGCCUUUAAAUACAUUAGCAUGGAAUAAUAAUAUAGAACCCUGGUACUAUUUUUUUGGUUUGCGUACUGAGGUAAUGAUUAAUAUGGAUAGUUGUGGGUAUUUGAAUUCAGUAUUCAGUGGUGAAAUACUUAGAUCUAUGGAAGACAAACUGCAAAAUUAUUUACAAAGGAUGUUUUCA
rnacentral:rRNA from 1 species